GAUGAACGCUAGCGGCAGGCUUAAUACAUGCAAGUCGAGGGGCAGCAUGAAUGUAGCAAUACAUUUGAUGGCGACCGGCAAACGGGUGCGGAACACGUACACAACCUUCCUAUAAGUGGGGAAUAGCCCAGAGAAAUUUGGAUUAAUACCCCGUAACAUAAUGAUGUGGCAUCACAUUAUUAUUAUAGCUACGGCGCUUGUUGAUGGGUGUUGGGCUGAUUAGAUAGUUGGCGGGGUAACGGCCCACCAAGUCUACGAUCAGUAGCUGAUGUGAGAGCAGGAUCAGCCACACGGGCACUGGAACACGCGCCCGACUCAUACGGGAGGCAGCAGUAAGGAAUAUUGAUCAAUGGACGCAAGUCUGAACCAGCCAUGCCGCGUGAAGGAUUAAGGUCCUCUGGAUUGUAAACUUCUUAUAUCUGGGACGAAAAAAGGCUAUUCUUAGUCACUUGACGGUACCAGAUGAAUAAGCACCGGCUAACUCCGUGCCAGCCGCCGCAGUAACAC
rnacentral:rRNA from 1 species